AACGAACGCUGGCGGCGUGCCUAACACAUGCAAGUCGGACGAGAAAGUUUCCUUCGGGAAGCGAGUAAAGUGGCGCACGGGUGAGUAACACGUAGACAACCUGCCUUCCAGUCCGGGACAACUUUUCGAAAGAAGGGCUAAUACCGGAUAACACUUUGGGCCGCAUGGCCUGGGUUGAAAGAUUUAUCGCUGGAAGAGGGGUC
rnacentral:rRNA from 1 species